UACGAAGGGUGCAAGCGUUACUCGGAAUUACUGGGCGUAAAGCGUGCGUAGGUGGUUUGUUAAGUCUGUUGUGAAAUCCCUGGGCUCAACCCAGGGCCUGCAUCGGAAACUGUCGGGGCUUGAGUAUGGGAGAGGUGAGUGGAAUUUCCGGUGUGAGCGGUGAAAUGCGUAGAUAUCGGGAAGGAACACCUGUGGCGAAAGCGGCUCACUGGACCAUUACUGACGCUGAGGCACGAAAGCUAGGGGAGCAAACAGG
rnacentral:rRNA from 1 species